AGAGGAGCCAAGCGUUGUCCGGAUUGACUGGGCGUAAAGCGCACGCAGGCGGUUGCGCGCGUGGGGUGUGAAAUCUGGCCGCUUAACGGCCAGGCGCCAUCCCAUACGGCGCGACUGGAGGGCUGCAGAGGUCGAUGGAAUUGCCGGUGUAGUGGUGAAAUGCGCAGAGAUCGGCAGGAACACCCAGGGGGAAACCAGUCGACUGGGCAGCACCUGACGCUGAGGUGCGAGAGCGUGGGGAGCGAACCGGAUUAGAUACCCGGGUAGUCCACGCCGUAAACGAUGGCCACUCGGCCUUUGGAGACGGAAUCUCCGUCUUUGGGGGCCUUAGCUAACGCGGGAAGUGGCCCGCCUGGGAACUACGAGCGCAAGCUUA
rnacentral:rRNA from 1 species